CGUAUCUUUUACAGGAGAGAUGGUCCAUUCUAAUCUAACUUGAAACUUCUUUCAUUAAUAUCUCAUCACGGCUGCAAUAUUUUCUAAAUUUAAACACAUUUUUCUUAUGUAAAUCGCAUAUAAGCUUUCGAAUAAAACCAAAAUCAAUCAAAUCGGUACACGUACAACAGCGAUAUCGUAAUAUCAUGUCAUGAUUCAUCCAAAAAUGGUACCGUCUUAUACUUUCCCAGUCGAUUUUUCGUCAACACUUAGCCAAUAGGAGACAAGGCCGUUCGUCGAUUCGUCGAUUCUUAGAAUCAGUCGGCAAGGCUCGUCGGCCGCCAUAAGAAAUACUUGUGUAUAUCGUUUGACAGAUAUAGGUUAGUAUCGUUUGACAGAUUCGUUUGACAGCUAUAGGUUAAAGUGGGGAAUAGCUGGAUCCAGGUUAUUAAGAUAGAAGAAAAAAAUGUCACCAGAUACUCCAAGAAAUAAUGCACAAGAGACAGUAAUGUUGCCUUGUAAUACGUAUGUGCACGCAAUAAAACCAUAAUACUAGUUUUAGCAGUACAACAUUUUUUACGUAUUAAACAAGAAGAGGAGUAUAUAACAUCAUCAAUAAAAGAGCUUUGAUUGAUCUAAGCAGCUACAGUCAUUCCAAUAAGAGGAACUGAAGGGAUGAAUUGCUUGUUUCAUGGAGCAAAUAAUUUGCUGACGAAGCAACAAUAUUUUGGUGCUCUCCAAAAAUAAGAGCUGCAGCUGUGAAAUUCUAAUAUUUUAUCUGAGUGAAGGAUGUCUGGUAGUAAUUAUUAAAGUACCACAAGAAGAAUCUUGCAAGUAUUACAGGAAAUACGAUAAAGUUUUACAGGUAUAUUGAAAUUGGCCAGUUAAAAUAUGCUACGACCUGACAAAGUGUACAAUGGAAGGAACUAAGUGAUCUGUAUAUAAUAUAAUUGAAGCAUAAGAUGAUGCGGUGUAUAUAACAAAUUUGCUGGUAUUUAUAUUAAUUCAUGAAUUGAAUGAAUAAAUGUUUAUAAUUAA